rnacentral:rRNA from 1 species
AAGUACAUGCCGUAUUAAGGCGAAACCGCGAAUGGCUCAUUAAAUCAGUUAUGGUUCCUUGGAUCGUACUUUACUACUUGGAUAACUGUGGCAAUUCUAGAGCUAAUACAUGCAGCAGAGCUCCGACCUUCGGGGACGAGCGCUUUUAUUAGACCAAAACCAAUCGGGCCUCGUGUCCGUGAACUGUGGUGACUCUGUAUAACUUUGGGCUGAUCGCACGGGCUCGUCCCGGCGACGUAUCUUUCAAGUGUCUGCCUUAUCAACUGUCGAUGGUAGGUUACGCGCCUACCAUGGUUGUAACGGGUGACGGGGAAUCAGGGUUCGAUUCCGGAGAGGGAGCCUGAGAAACGGCUACCACAUCCAAGGAAGGCAGCAGGCGCGCAAAUUACCCACUCCCGGAACGGGGAGGUAGUGACGAAAAAUAACAAUACGGGACUCUUUUGAGACCCCGUAAUUGGAAUGAGUACACUCUAAAUCCUUUAACGAUUAUCCAUUGGAGGGCAAGUCUAGUGCCAGCAGCCGCGGUAAUUCUAGCUCCAAUAGCGUAUAUUAAAGUUGUUGCGGUUAAAAAGCUCGUAGUUGGAUCUCAGUUCCAGACGGAUGGUCCGCCUACCGGCGGUCACUGUCCGUUCUGAACAGGCCAGCCGGUUUCCCCUGAUGAUCUUCACCGGUUGUCUCGGGUGACCGGCAAGUUUACUUUGAAAAAAUUAGAGUGCUCAAAGCAGGCGCGACGCCUGGAUAAUGGUGCAUGGAAUAAUGGAAUAGGACCUCGGUUCUAUUUUGUUGGUUUUCGGAACGCGAGGUAAUGAUUAAGAGGGACAGACGGGGGCAUCCGUACUGCGACGCUAGAGGUGAAAUUCUUGGACCGUCGCAAGACGAACUACUGCGAAAGCAUUUGCCAAGAAUGUUUCCAUUAAUCAAGAACGAAAGUUAGAGGCUCAAAGGCGAUCAGAUACCGCCCUAGUUCUAACCAUAAACGAUGCCAGCCAGCGAUCCGGCUGUGUUCCUCAAAUGACACGCCGGGCAGCUUCCGGGAAACCAAAGCUUUUGGGUUCCGGGGGAAGUAUGGUUGCAAAGCUGAAACUUAAAGGAAUUGACGGAAGGCCACACAAGGUGUGGAGCCUGCGGCUUAAUUUGACUCAACACGCGAAAACUCACCUGGCCCGGACACAGGAAGGAUUGACAGAUUGAGAGCUCUUUCUUGAUUCUGUGGGUGGUGGUGC